UGCAUGGCAUGAGGAGAGAGAGAAGAAAGUGGGUUGGAGAUAAGUCUCAACAUCCACCAAGAAUGGCUAAAGACCCAAUUAUUAGUUGGUCGACGUCAUAUGAAGAGUUACUUUCUACUAAUGAACCUUUUGCAGAGCCAAUACCUUUGCCGGAGAUGGUAGAUUUCUUGGUUGAUAUUUGGCAUGACGACGGGCUCUUUGACUAAUUGUUCCAAGGUUGAAAUAAAUGUCGACUGAAGCAAGAACCCUGUAAAGCCUUAAAGCUCCAUUCAUUUGCCACUCACUGGUCAUGAUGGUUAUAAGAGAGGGGAUACUAUUGAGGAUCAUUACUUUAUCCUCCUAGUACAUUUUUUUCUUUUUCGCAAGAAAACAGAUGGAAAGUCCCUAGUUCUCGUUGAUUUAAGAGAAAAACCAAUUGAUA